AGAACGAACGCUGGCGGCAUGCCUAACACAUGCAAGUCGAACGCUCCUGGGGCUUCGGUCUCAGGGGAGUGGCGCACGGGUGAGUAGCGCGUGGGAACCUGCCCUGUUGUGGGGGAUAACCGAGGGAAACUUCGGCUAAUACCGCAUAAGCCGGUUGUCUUGAAAGGGAUGGCCGGGAAAGAUUUAUCGCGACAGGAGGGGCCCGCGUCGGAUUAGCUAGUUGGUGGGGUAACGGCCCACCAAGGCAGUGAUCCGUAGCUGGUCUGAGAGGAUGAUCAGCCACACUGGGACUGAGACACGGCCCAGACUCCUACGGGAGGCAGCAGUGGGGAAUAUUGGACAAUGGGCGCAAGCCUGAUCCAGCAAUGCCGCGUGAGUGAUGAAGGCCUUAGGGUUGUAAAGCUCUUUCGCCCGCGACGAUGAUGACGGUAGCGGGAGAAGAGCCCGGCUAACUUCGUGCCAGCAGCCGC
rnacentral:rRNA from 1 species